rnacentral:rRNA from 1 species
UGGUAAGUCAGUUGUGAAAGUUUGCGGCUCAACCGUAAAAUUGCAGUUGAUACUGUCAGUCUUGAGUACAGUAGAGGUGGGCGGAAUUCGUGGUGUAGCGGUGAAAUGCUUAGAUAUCACGAAGAACUCCGAUUGCGAAGGCAGCUCACUGGACUGCAACUGACACUGAUGCUCGAAAGUGUGGGUAUCAAACAGGAUUAGAUACCCUGGUAGUCCACACAGUAAACGAUGAAUACUCGCUGUUUGCGAUAUACAGUAAGCGGCCAAGCGAAAGCAUUAAGUAUUCCACCUGGGGAGUACGCCGGCAACGGUGAAACUCAAAGGAAUUGACGGGGGCCCGCACAAGCGGAGGAACAUGUGGUUUAAUUCGAUGAUACGCGAGGAACCUUACCCGGGCUUAAAUUGCAGUGGAAUGAUGUGGAAACAUGUCAGUGAGCAAUCACCGCUGUGAAGGUGCUGCAUGGUUGUCGUCAGCUCGUGCCGUGAGGUGUCGGCUUAAGUGCCAUAACGAGCGCAACCCUUAUCUUCAGUUACUAACAGGUCAUGCUGAGGACUCUGGAGAGACUGCCGUCGUAAGAUGUGAGGAAGGUGGGGAUGACGUCAAAUCAGCACGGCCCUUACGUCCGGGGCUACACACGUGUUACAAUGGGGGGUACAGAAGGCAGCUAGCGGGUGACCGUAUGCUAAUCCCAAAAUCCUCUCUCAGUUCGGAUCGAAGUCUGCAACCCGACUUCGUGAAGCUGGAUUCGCUAGUAAUCGCGCAUCAGCCACGGCGCGGUGAAUACGUUCCCGGGCCUUGUACACACCGCCCGUCAAGCCAUGGGAGCCGGGGGUACCUGAAGUACGUAACCGCAAGGAUCGUCCUAGGGUAAAACUGGUGACUGGGGCUAAGUCGUAACAAGGUAACCA